UACAGAGGUCUCAAGCGUUGUUCGGAUUCAUUGGGCGUAAAGGGUGCGUAGGCGGCGCGGUAAGUCGGGUGUGAAAUCUCGGGAGCUUAACUCCAAAACUGCAUUCGAUACUGCCGUGCUUGAGGACUGGAGAGGAGACUGGAAUUUACGGUGUAGCGGUGAAAUGCGUAGAUAUCGUAAGGAAGACCAGUGGCGAAGGCGGGUCUCUGGACAGUUCCUGACGCUGAGGCACGAAGGCCAGGGGGAGCAAACGGG
rnacentral:rRNA from 1 species